CUGAAUACAGGCCAAUUCCAGUUUCUGGAGCCGGGGGUGUGAUGGGAGAAAGGAGCUGCUGUAUCCAUAGGUGCAAGAAGUCUGGGUGUGGAGGGUGCUGCAGCACCGCCAGCUAUAGAUUGCUAUCAGCAUGGAGGCUUCCCCACUUUCAGGCAUGGAAUCAACACAGCUAAGAUGCUCCUUAAGCUUCACCAGAAGGUCUCACCUAGAAGUGAAAUUCCGCUUGAAGUGCUGCUCCACCAGUUGGCUACCAACCACAGACACCCACACUGGCUUUACAAGCACUCCCGCGCUCAUUCUCCCACGCUCCAUGCAGCUUAGAGUUGCUUCCAGCUGAGAUGAGUUUGGCUCAAGCAGGAGGAGGUCUCGUUUUGGUUCAACCCGCAGAGCCCCAAUUCCGGUCUCAGCUGCCGUAGGCCACGCAUGUGGGUUAGGACUUGGACGAGGGGUUGCCUGCCCCAGUGUCUCGCUACAAGCCAGCGAGAAGCAAUUUCCCAUCUUGCUGUCACCAAAUAUCAAUGUGGAAAGAGCAUCAAGGCGUUGCCUAAAAAUGGGACUGGAUGUUUUCACACAUGCCGGCAGAAGCGCAAGUGCAGCUCCUACAGACAUCAGCCAGGUGACACAGGUGUAAGCAGUGUCAAGGGCUUUCCCUUCGCCCUUUCCUUGCUUCUUGACACGCAGCCAGAAAGCAGAAGACCAGAUGUUUGAAGUGCAGGCAAUGCGAUGUUUAUUGGGAUUAAUCCCAGCGAGCAUAUCCACAGCUCUGUAUGCUGCAGAGCCUUUUCCCUUUCCUCCUCCGUAGCAGGCCCAGAUUUACCUGCAAUGCAUGCCCCUAGUGCCACCCCUUACUAUUCAUGGUCCUAUUCUGUUCUGGAGGGUCUUGAGUCUGGGGCCUUCGGUACCAUCUCUUUUGUAUCUCACAGGAGCGGUAGGGAAUGAGGGUAUUUACGGGCAGGGAUACCUUUUCUCUGGCUUGUGGUUGUUUCUUAUGCCUUUUCCCCUGCCCCCAUCCUCGCCCCCUCUUGACUGGUUGCUUGACCUUGUCUUGAGAUAGGAGUCGAGGUAGUCUUCAAGUGCACACUCAUACAUUACGCUCCCACCAUACCACGUAACACACGAGCUCUAUCUCUUUUUAUCCCAUCUGGUUGUGGCCAGAUGUAAUACACAGUGUCAUUGCUCACACAUACAAGUGAGAAUAGACAAAUAUGUAAAGUCAAAUGGGCAAACAAAACCCAAAAUUCUAUCUCAGGCCAAUCUACAGACCUGACUGCUACAUUAUCAUCACUAGCACUCCAAAGAAGCGGGAGCUGAAUUAGGCUCAUUGGCUGCAGGUUAAUAUAUGUUGUUAGCGCAGCUGAGAAUCAGGGCAAACCUGGGCUAAGCACUAGUUGUGUCUGUGGAAGACGCUUGAUUCUUCACGUCUUCUUGGGCUGUUAUUUAUACCUGUGAAGUGGGGUGCUGAAAUGCUGCUGUUCUGAGAUGGGGAGCAGGGGCCUCAGGUGGUUACUGGAUGUAGGUUGGGGCAUCUGGACAGACAGAUGGAUAGCAAAUUGUGAGCACCACCUUGCCUCCAGGGAACUGGAUUAGCUGACCUCUCAAGGACCUUUCUAGACAUCCGCUUCUAUGAUUGAGAAGGGAUCGGCCUGUGGCAGUAAUUUGAGAUCUGAAUGUCAAGCCACUGCAAAGUUUCGUGGUGUUUGGGUCAGGCCUACUCACUUCUCAAGCCACCCCCCAGUGGCUGGCUCAGAGCCAGUGCCAGAAAACCAACCAAGCCCCAGAGCACAGGAUGGGGAGACCACGAACCAGACAGAGCUAAAACAGCAGCAUGAAAGAUGAAGUGGUUAGGAAAACAGAAGGGUUUUGUUUUGUACAGCUGGGCAAAGCUUCUGAGCUUUGCAGUGUCUGUGCCAGCUGCUACUCUGAGAUCCCUCUGAGUCUGCGCAGUUCUGGAGCGACUCUGCUGACGUCAUUGGCACCUACUUCUCAGGGAUAUUAGGAGGAACUGUCUGGGAAUAAGUGCUUUGAACACAUAGGGCCAAACCCU